UGCCUGCACGCCUUCUGCCGGCCGUG
rnacentral:piRNA from 1 species